UGCCAGACUCCUACGGGAGGCAGCAGUGAGGAAUAUUGGUCAAUGGGCUUACGCCUGAACCAGCCAAGUCGCGUGAGGGAAGACUGCCCUAUGGGUUGUAAACCUCUUUUGUCGGGGAGCAAAGCGAGUCACGUGUGACUCAUUGAGAGUACCCGAAGAAAAAGCAUCGGCUAACUCCGUGCCAGCAGCCGCGGUAAUACGGAGGAUGCGAGCGUUAUCCGGAUUUAUUGGGUUUAAAGGGUGCGCAGGCGGAGGUGCAAGUCAGCGGUAAAAUGUCGGGGCUCAACCCCGGCCUGCCGUUGAAACUGGCGGCCUCGAGUGGGCGAGAAGUAUGCGGAAUGCGUGGUGUAGCGGUGAAAUGCAUAGAUAUCACGCAGAACCCCGAUUGCGAAGGCAGCAUACCGGCGCCCUACUGACGCUGAGGCACGAAAGUGCGGGUAUCGAACAGGAUUAGAUACCCCCGUAACA
rnacentral:rRNA from 1 species